rnacentral:pre_miRNA from 1 species
AGGCCGGCCUUGUAAGCUUCGAACUUCGCGAUUAUGUCCGGACAGACGUCGCGGACGAACUUAAAGAAGAGCGCGCCA